UUAACAUGCAAAUAGACUCCCUUUCUUGAGCCUUUGAUAAAGAGCCAGAAGGAAGUUCACAAGGUGGGGCUACUCCAGCCCCAGAAGCCCAGGAGGAGGAGAGUGGGGAGCUCAUUACUGGCCCCUGCCUCGCGGGCCCGGGUGACACCCCCAGAGACAGGGAGCGCUGUCCUACGAGAUGCUUCCAGGAGAUUCUCGCAGGGAAAGAGUAAAAAGCGAUAUUUGGAACCUCCAGGAGGCCAUCCCCGCAGGUGGCGUUCACCUCUGCUUCACCUCCGCUGACACUGAAAUCCUUCUGGGAGCCAGAGCUCCGUCUGCCUGGGUCCGGGCUGUGGUCUUCCUGGGGCUCAUUGUCACAGAGACUGUUCCAGAAGGCCUACUUCCCUGGAUGCCAGCCUGGAGAGUCGGUCUGGG
rnacentral:lncRNA from 1 species